GGGGGGAGUGAAGAAAAAAAAAGCGGCAACGUGUUUGCCAAUGUUGAACAUGAGUUCGUGGUAAUAUGGUCGCAUAUACACAGAGUUUCCAAGUGGCUUCUGUACAGGAACCUUAAGUCCGAUGAAAGACCGUGUAAUGUUGACCAGUUAUCCAUAGUUAGAAAUCCACCUGACCAAGCCUAAGAUCCUGAGACUGAAAAAACAUAAGUUGCAAAAAUUUCUGAACACCGCAGUGCUAGGAAAAAUGAUGGAGUUUUGUUUUGUCAUCCAGGAAAUACUGAUAAUUCAUUACUCCUGAAAAGAAUUAACAGACCACUGGAAAGAAGAUGUUGAUUUUGUCCACCCUUGGAUAGGAGACAAAAGACUGAAUAGUAGACCAUGGAACACUGACUGGUUAUAUGUGGGUGGAAAUCUACUUGACCAUGGGAAAAGCUGACAAAUGUCCUGUGAAUGAGAAAAAACAAGCAAAGAUAUUUAGCAAAAGUGAUGUACUAAGGUAAAAUGUCAAUA
rnacentral:lncRNA from 1 species